CCCAAAGGUUCCCUCAGAAUGGUUGGAAAUCAUUCGCAGAGUGUAAAGGCACAAGGGAGCUUGACUGCGAGACCUACAAGUCGAGCAGGGACGAAAGUCGGGCUUAGUGAUCCGGUGGUUCCGCAUGGAAGGGCCAUCGCUCAACGGAUAAAAGCUACCCCGGGGAUAACAGGCUUAUCUCCCCCAAGAGUCCACAUCGACGGGGAGGUUUGGCACCUCGAUGUCGGCUCAUCGCAUCCUGGGGCUGUAGUCGGUCCCAAGGGUUGGGCUGUUCGCCCAUUAAAGCGGUACGCGAGCUGGGUUCAGAACGUCGUGAGACAGUUCGGUCCCUAUCCGUCGCGGGCGCAGGAAAUUUGAGAGGAGCUGUCCUUAGUACGAGAGGACCG
rnacentral:rRNA from 1 species